UACGGGGGGGGCAAGCGUUGUUCGGAAUUACUGGGCGUAAAGGGCGCGUAGGCGGCUAGGCAAGUCAGGUGUGAAAGCCCCGGGCUUAACCCGGGAAUUGCAUCUGAAACUGCUGUGCUUGAGUUCUGGAGGGGGUAGUGGAAUUCCCAGUGUAGCGGUGAAAAUGCGUAGAUAUUGGGGAAGAACACCGAUGGCGAAGGCAGCCAUCUGGACCGGCACUGACGCUGAGGCGCGAAAAGCGUGGGGAGCAAACAGG
rnacentral:rRNA from 1 species